rfam:Moniliophthora roreri strain MCA 2952 kmer90.81352, whole genome shotgun sequence.
GGGCACAUGGUGUAGUUGGUUAUCACAUCCGCUUAGCAUACUGUAUUAUGUAUUUCCAUUCUCAUAUGUAAUGCGGGGGGUGCUGGGUUCAAUUCCCAGUGUGUCCA